GUGGCUGCGGCCUGCCCCUCAGCCUCCUCCGCGCGGUUACCCCUGUACCCGCCGCCAUCCGUCCUGGCGCUCCGGAUGAGUCAAUGAGGGGCAGGGCCCGAGGAGUGGUCUUCCCAAGAACCCCUGGUGGCCUCCCAAGGCCGGUGCUGUGUACCUCCUCCCCGACAAAAGGGGAAACUGAGGCCCCGAGGGGAGUGGGAAGAGCCGGCUGGACGUCAGGCCCAGCCGCUGGUGCAGUGGUCCGUCCCCUCUGCCGGGGUGGGCCCCUCGGGUUUCGCGUGUCCUCGGGAAAGAGACUGGCGGGCCUCGUGGGCUGUGCGGCUAUCCUGGAGACAGAUGACAGCUCUCCCUUGGAUGGCUUUGCUGGUUCCGCACCAGCCAGCGCCCCCAUUUUUCCUGCAGCACCCUGAUCUGCACUCCCUGAGGGGCUCCCACUGUCCGCGGUGUGAGGAUGUCCCUGGAUAGUCCACUGUGUGCAGAGGCAUGGGAGUUGUCAUGUUGGGAACAUGCUAGACCUCAGUAUCCUUGAGGGAUGCUGCCUUGGGUCUGGAAACUGUUAGAGGAAACCCCAAGAGGUGCAGGCACUGAGCCUCUCAGGACAAUGACCUGGGGUCCCAGCUCCCCUGGAGGGGCCUCCUCAUGAUUGUUUGGGGGUUGAUCACAGACCAAGAGUGACGAGUGAUGUCACCCUGUGACUCAUGGCUGGACCUUCUUGCCCCUAUUGUCUCAGCACAACAUUAUUCGACUUUUCCCUCAGCGUGGGUGGGCAGAGGAAAAGCCCUGUGGCUCUGGGGACUUGGGAUCCAGAGUUGAAGACCCUUCAGCUGGCUCUGCCCUGCCAGUGCCACAGAGUGCCAUGGCCCAGGAAGACAGGUUUUCUUCCAUCUAGGCCAGGCCAUCCAGUGGCCAUCCUCCGUGUCCUCCCGCCUCCUCCUGGUGUGACUUCUGAAAACCAAGAAUUUGUUCCUGUUGACUUUUUCUGUGCUAUGGACCAUUGUCCUCUCACCCACUCAAUAAAUCUUGAAACAUGC
rnacentral:lncRNA from 1 species